CACAGCCAAUACAGCUGAGAAGCAAACAGUGCUUAAUGUUUAAAUGCAUAAAUUCAGAAUUGUGCAAAAGUUUCUACAAACUGUGAAGAGCAGCCGGAAAGCCUCACAAUGCGGAUGGUUAUUUCCUGAGUCUAAUUGGAGCUGCACAUGGACUCUGAUUGAUUAUUGUACUGAACAGUUUGAAUAUUCAAAUCAACUCAAGCUGCGUCGCUGCUGUCAGGCGGCGUUAGUCCUGUGCUGUCAAUCGUCCUCCCGGCCACUGGCCCUCUUCCUGUCGCACUUCAUCCUGCGAGAUUUGUUCAGGCUCCAGGAUGAUCAUCGCUGCCAUGAAUCAAAAUGAAAGCAGCAAUAGACUUUGAUCUACUUACGGUUUGUAAUCCGGGCUCUGACAAGUGACAAACUGUCAGCAGCCAAUGGAGAUGGACAAGCAGCUUGUUUGGCGGGUACCACUGUUGCCUUGCAACGAGAAGGUCCUGGGUUCAAAUCCUGGUCAACGGUUUGUAUUGUAGUUCCUCCCACAGAAACUGGUUAACUGCUCUCUCUAAAUUGUCCUUUGAUAUGAGUGUGUGUGUGUGUGUUUGUGUAUUGUUGUAUUACCUGCUGAUGGAUUGAUGAUCUGUCCAGGGUCUCUUAUGCAUAAGAAAGGGCACUAUAUUGUAAAAAAGGGAAAGGAUUGUUUUCUGUCUUCUCAGCCAAAUUUAAGUUGGUAAACAAUGAUUUCAAAUAUUUUUAGAAAAGAAAAUAAAUCUUGUAAAGACUUGCUCAUUUGGGCAGGAAGUCCUAGCUUCUCCUGUAUCUGCUGUCCUCAAAGUGAUCUGUGAAUUCAACUGUUCUCUGAGCGAACUGACCUGGGUCAGAACCAGACAAGUUACGUAACUUGCGUUUGUUCUGACUGAGUCUAGACACCCAGAAUCAGCAGGAAUGUGACAGAACCGGCUGAGGUCAGAGCUGUGAGGGGACUCCAGAGCGGACCACUGACUUUAAGUGUGCAUUCUGUGAGCUUGUCUUGUUCCAGGGCCUAAAAGGCCCAACUCAUCACCACCACAUGGUUUAACAAAUGCAUGUGUAUAAAUGUAAGUCCUCCUUAAAAAUCUUACCAUUUGACAUGUAAUUCUGGACCACUUGCACUUUGCUCUCUUGAGGAAAUCAGACAGUUGUGCAAAUAGAAUCACGUAAACAUUUCAGAGAAAGAGAGAAAAAGCUUUGCUACAUCUGUAAAUACAUUCUUCCUUUCUGCAGCGCAAUGGCCUGAAUUCCUCUCAGAAUUGUUGAUCUUCUGUGUUGUCACUACAUAGUUAAUUUCCCCAGGGAGCACCAUAUAAAUUGCAUGCCACUGAACAGAGCUAAUAGCUGUGGUCUUGGAAAUAUGUUUGGCGGCAGCUUCCAAGAGGCUCGUGGAGGCGCAGCAUCCAACAAACUGCACUUCCUGCUCAUUAUUUCACAAUUGGGAACAAGUGUUUGGACUCCAUCUUUGUAUAUUGCCUUGUGGUCUCUCUGCAAUUUGUCGCUAUUAUGUUCCCAUUUUUUAGGGCGUGAGGUAAAUUUUGUGGUUAUCAGCGUUGAUGAAGCUGCUCACAUCUGCUGACUGGAGACAUGGAGGUCCGCAGAGCUGUGACCUCAUCGCUGCAUCACAAGCUAAUUGCUGUCAGAUUUAUACAAAUAUUUACAACAUCCACCUCCAACAUCAUCCUUGCAGGGAUGUAAAGGGAAACAAAGAUGGAAGAUGCAAAAGGAGAACCGGCACACAGAAAGGGCACGAAAUCUAACAAAGUCAGCACAGCUACAAAUAUUAGAGCUGAGAGAAACUGGGUGUAGAAAAAAAUAAACUUAAACUUUUGAAACAGUAUGGCUUUAUUGGAGUUUACCUGAUUGGCAUGUGGGAAAAAUGUCUUCCACUCUGUCAGAAAACGGUCUGUGCUGGUAAAUCAUGCCACAGAAAAAAGGGCUUAUGCUCUUUUUGCAUGUUACAAAAGCAGACAAUUCUAAACAAUAUGAUAUUUUUGUUAUUGUGGCACACAGAGAUCAGAAAAUAUAAGCACACAUAUUUUUAUUUUAAGAAAACAGAUUAUUGAAAGGAUGACACUAAAGUUCAGUUCUGAUGUAACUCACAGAAAACGGCUUUUUUUGCCCA